AACGAACGCUGGCGGCAUGCCUAACACAUGCAAGUCGAACGAGACCUUCGGGUCUAGUGGCGCACGGGUGCGUAACGCGUGGGAACCUGCCCUUAGGUUCGGAAUAACUCCCCGAAAGGGGUGCUAAUACCGGAUAAUGUCUUCGGACCAAAGAUUUAUCGCCUUUGGAUGGGCCCGCGUUGGAUUAGCUAGUUGGUAGGGUAAAAGCCUACCAAGGCGACGAUCCAUAGCUGGUCUGAGAGGAUGAUCAGCCACACUGGGACUGAGACACGGCCCAGACUCCUACGGGAGGCAGCAGUGGGGAAUAUUGGACAAUGGGCGAAAGCCUGAUCCAGCAAUGCCGCGUGAGUGAUGAAGGCCUUAGGGUUGUAAAGCUCUUUUAACCGGGAUGAUAAUGACAGCACCGGGAGAAUAAGCUCCGGCUAACUCCGUG
rnacentral:rRNA from 1 species